AAUGUCGCGUGCCAGCUCGUGUCACCUCCCCACCACUUUACUAAACGUAUCUGCAACAUGGGAUGCCAUUGUUCUAUCGAAAAUCGUCGUGUUUGGAUGUGUAACCUUGCUCGAUGCGCUUCGCCGUGCCUAUUACCGUGUGUUACGUACUUCCAUUGCUGUUUCGUAGAUUGUUGGCUGACGCGUGGAUAACAUCGAAAGAAUAACAAUACCGUAUGAUGUCACGGGCGAUUGACAGCCGAUACGACGUUCUGCUAUUUCCGAAUCCAUAUUCGGUUCUCCAUCGAAGAAAAUUACGAAACGAUUCGCAAGUGCUUGCAGCCCGCUGCUAAACACAGCGCCAACGACCGUAGUGCUUUUCGUCGUUCGCCAAUAUCCCUAGAUAUUUCUAUAUACGAGGUGGUUAAAUGGUAGCAGCAGAGCGGAUCUUUCGUCGUUGCGGUGCACCGCAAUUUUCGACCUCUAAUUUUAUGGUUUUUCGUGGCGGACCUAACGGUGAGGAGGUCUGCCCUCUCAACCAGAAAUCCCGCACGGUGAAAUACCUUUCGCAUACGUUUACGUACGUGCAAUUAUCCUGUCGGUUACGCCGGUACACACCGAUUAUUUUCUUGGCGCUUCGCGUGACCAGCAUCGUCCUUUUUCCUUACCCUUUCAACCAUUCGACGAUGGACGAGAAUCUUCUCGAUGGAGCUACCGUGCCAAAGUAUUGUGUUUCAAUGCUUAUUUUUGUCUUUUCUUUCUUUUUUCGUUGGUUGGUUGUUUUUCUGACAAGUUAACACUCGCGCGUGUUCAGCUUCGCAGACGCUGCAAAAUUGAACACACGCAAGCGCGAAUUUGUAGAAAAGAUCGACGGUAUUCGUUUCACCGCGACUUCUCCGCGUUUGUUUAAUGAAAAUUUUAGGUCGAUCGAUCCCUCGGGGAAAGGAUAACGGAAAAUUGAAAGAUCAGCGUCAUU